CCUAGAGUUGUAGGCUUUGCCUGCUAUCUCUUACCCAUGUCUUUUGAGUACCUUACGUUUCCUCGGUGGGUUCGCCCACCGAUUGGACAAACUUAAACCCUUUGCAGUUGAAAUCAGCGUCUGAAAAAAAACUUAAUAGUUAC
rnacentral:misc_RNA from 1 species